UACGUAGGGAGCAAGCGUUGUCCGGAAUCAUUGGGCGUAAAGCGCGCGUAGGUGGCUUCGUAAGUCCGUUGUGAAAGUCAAAGGCUCAACCUUUGAAAGCCGAUGGAUACUGCGGAGCUAGAGUACGGAAGAGGCGAGUGGAAUUCCCGGUGUAGCGGUGAAAUGCGCAGAUAUCGGGGAGAACACCCAUGGCGAAGGCAGCUCUCUGGGACGGUACUGACGCUGAGACGCGAAAGCGUGGGGAGCGAACAGG
rnacentral:rRNA from 1 species